rnacentral:ncRNA from 1 species
AACAAUGUAGGUAAGGGAAGUCGGCAAGUUCGAUUAGUAACUUCAGGACAAGGAUUGGCUCUGAGGACUGGGCCCGUCGGGCUGGGGUCCGAAGCGGGUGUGGCACUGCACCGGGACUGGGCGAGACUGGCCGUGAAAGCGAUUCGGUCCGGCCCGGACCAGCGUCGGGGCCUUCCCGUGGAACGCCUCAGCUGCGCGGCGCACCGGGCACAAAGCUCGGAGCGACCGUUUCGGCGGGCAACUAACAGCCGACUCAGAACUGGCACGGACUAAGGGAAUCCGACUGUCUAAUUAAAAGUAACAAAUUAACGAACUCAAUAAGGUAUUGACCCACCUUUAGCCUGGAUGCAAGCUACCACACGGCGUGGCAUAGACUGAUAAAGCUCCCGGGUUGUCUCCUGUGGU